CUGCUGUUGGAUGAAGGAUUCCUGCAGCAUCAUCCAGAGCCUGAUCUUUACCCUCAGUUCUCCAGCACGGUGUGAAGAUCCAGGAGCAGCCCAGAUUGAGGCUGAAACCACUGUUUUGGUGGUGAUUCCACAACAAAAUGGGGUCUGAAUGUGCAGCAGUACAACUGAUACACGGCUACUCUUGGGGACAGCAGCUUUACACUCAUGGUUCCCCUCUUUCAGCAUCCAGUAACCAGUCUGGCUUUUGGUCUUGCCCUGCAUCAACCUGCCUUUUCACUUCACUUCUUCUCACAAUCAGUGAUUACUUUUUGUUCUGCCAGUACCCAGAUGAGUGUGAUUCUCUGAUCUCUAUGAAACAGCAGUAAUAGUAACAACUACCUGGAGAGUGGCACGGACGAACACACUUAGGCCUUUCAGUACCUUUUCCUUGCUGCUCAGCACCAAACUGCAGCAGAUCUUACAGCCAAAAUAGUUCAUGAAGAGACAGAGAUGAGGCACUAAAGAAGGAAGAAAUGCUCUAGGAACUCUGUUGGCAGGAAGGCUUUUCUCUCCCAUCUCCACAUUCUGCCCUAAGCUUAUUUUUAAUAAAUACAUUGAUGAAGGCUUUUUUCUUAGUCACUUCUUAGAACAGGAGCUGCUUCCUUGUAACUCAUUGUGGGACAGAGCAGCAGUGCUGUGGUGAGCUUGGGAGCCCAGCCCCAUGGUGGAAGCUCAUUAGAUCCUCCUAAUGCUGGCUAUGGCACAUGGUGCUUCUGAAUAUCUUGCUGCCUUUUGUACAGGGCUGCAAGUCUGCUCUUUGUAAGACGCUUCCUCAUGUCCCAUCUGCCUUUCUUAGGUUAAUAGUUUCUCCAAGCAGUCACUGAAGACUGAUGGCACAAGGUUGGAUUUGCUUUUCUUCAUUACUCAAGGCAAUUUUGCCUAAGCUACACAACAGGCAAGGCGAUUUCCCCUUGGCUGGACUAGCUGUCUGCACACAAUUACACUUCUCUAUUAUUAGUGAGAGUGAGCUGGGCUGAGUUUACAACUGUGCAGGAGAGAUAAGCUCAAGACGACUGUGCUUCCUCUCCAAGGGGCUGCUGAGCUGCAUUCAGCUCUGCGUCUGAGACACCGCCGUCCUGAAAUGGGGAGGAAUUCUUGUCCUCUGAAUGGGGAUGCCCAAAAGGAGCAGGCUGGGUGUGUUUCUUUUAAUGGAAGAUUAGACAGAGAAUCACAUGAUUUUACCCUCUUUACCCAAGACACUGGAGUCACAGGAGCUUUCUGAUACCCAUUUUUAUGUCAGAACAAUCACAUCCUGAACACCUUUUACUAAAUGAACUAAAGAAUCUAUACAACUAGUCCAAGCACAGAUGCAGAUGCAUAGAUUUAUGGGAGAUUAAUGCCAUGAGUCUCAGUUUUUAUGGCUCUCACAUUUAGCAACACGCGAGGAGAAGAACUGCAUGUCAGAAGUGCUAAUUGUUACCUUCCCAUGCUGAUGAUAGUGCACUUUCUUAACCGAAAGAGAUGAAAUGAAGGAAUGCUGGGGGAAGGGAGAUGUAACAAGUGUGAGGAAUCAAAGCAUCUGCACUUAGAAGAAAACAGAGCUAGUCCUUGGGCAUUUUCCAAGGGCACGCUGUAAUUAACAGGUACUCCCAAGAUGCCCGUCUUCAAAAGGUGCCAAAAUUCCUCGAUAAGUUAUCUCAGGAGCCAAAACAACAGGUGACAGAAGGACUGUUGCUUUCAAGGACGCCACUUCAGGUCACACCAUUCAGAUGAGCUGGGUACCGUGGAACGCUCGAUAGUUAUUAUUGGAUUAAGGCAGAGCCUUAUGUUAAUAAAGCUGCAGUAUGCCCCAAAAGAGGAUGUCUGCUUGAGCGUUGCUUAUCCUGAAGAACAGAAGCACAGGGUGAGAUUAGACAAAAUUAAGAUCAUGAGAGGAGGCAAUACUAUCAACAGUAUUAAAAGAAAUAGUAAUUUCAUAAUUUCAUAAGUAAUUUCAUUUUCUUCCAUUCCUGCAAGUCACGUCAGAAGCUUUAAACCAACGAUGCCUCUCUUUAUCAAGCUCUCUUAUGAAGCAAGGACAGGAAACUACCAGAAUCCUCAAAAGCAAAUGACACAGAAAAGGAGUUUUCUCCAUAGUGCCAUUUACAACAAGAAGACGGUUUGAACUCCCGAAUUCACUGAAUGCCUCCAGAAAACCACCAGUAACUGGGUAACACACUAGGAUGCAACGAGAACACCCCAGCAUCUGGAAUGGAAAGCUUCAAUACCUGCAAGCGUCGUGAUACCCAGACAGCACAUCUGAGAGAGCAACCACUGUUCCUGUGUCAGUUCAGGACACAUCCUCUCUUGUCCUGCUGCAUCCUUCCAGUCGGUGUGCUGGAAGAAUCUGGGAGAGAUGCACAGACUCACUUGACAUACUGCUUCACCAAGGGCUGCCUUAAACUGACACGGAGGAAAUGGAGCGAAGCGACUCUGAUCUGUAACAUAAAUCUUGUGGUUUCCAGCCAGGAUGUUCGGACUAACAGUGAUUACUGUAAGAGGAGACUUGGUUGGGGGGCUCAUCGUCGCCUCUAACUUAAUACAGCAUCACUGCCAGCAUCUCAGCUAGAUCUCCAGGAUCUGACUACAGCCAAAAGAGAACUGGCAGUAUGUUCACUGGGGCUUCAAGUACCACUUAUCUGUCCAAAUGUAGAAUGAGGUGAAUCACCCAGAUACACAGACUGCAUUGCACAGCUCUUCUGACCCAGAAAGGGAGCACCAGGUGACUCUCAGAGCUGCUGUAGAAGUAUUUGACACUGAUGAUCUCAGUGUGGUAUCUGCUAUCUGAGCUCAAGUUUUCCCCAGCACUGGUUGAAAGAACUGGAGGCACACCCACACCGGGGAGCACAUUCCAUCUGCGUAAGAACAGCAGUGGUAUGGGUAAAAUAAACCCCACCACAGCUCCCUCAGACUGCUGAGACUUAAUGUUUUAUUCCGCACAGAACUAAGUUCUAAGUGCCACAGCUGAAAUUACGACAGCACUAGUGCAACUUGCCAUUCGUCACUGUAAGCUUGAGCUAUAAGAAGAGUGUCUUUGUGUGGACACUACAGUGAUUACGGCAAAAUAUUUGAGCUAACCACUGGAGAUAUUGUAUGAGUCUCAAGUUCAAAAAAGCCUCUUCUUAUCAGGGGGAGCUCGGCUUUCAUCGCGUCCUUUGCUUUCCAGCCAGCUACUUUCGUCUCUUCCCCUUCUUUUUGGGGGAGCCAGGCCAAGGAAAGCCCCGCAACUCCAGGCAGGCGGGGACAUUAUGGCAGAUGUAAUGGGCGUUGAGCAUGGCAGCUGGGCUGAGGAUAUCCACAUCCUUCACCACCUUCUUCGUUUUCUUUUUGGAGCUUUUUCCUUUGCCACGCUUGGGUUUGCUGCUUUUACCUGCCUGCAGAGAGAAAAUGACCAUGAAAACACCUAAUUAGCCCUUUAUCUGUAUUGUCUGCCUUCUGGGCUGAGGAUCCCAAGACAUCCUGGAACAGUUUCACGGCAUCACAGUCCGGGCUGUAUUAGAAUCAUAGAAUGGGACCAUCAGCUCAGAGCUCCUCACCACAGACAAAAUCUAUAUUUGCUCUGUAAGAAUCUUUAGAGACAUCAGACAAGACUGCUUAACGUUCUGCUGUGCCUCUGUCUGGC
rnacentral:lncRNA from 1 species